rnacentral:rRNA from 1 species
AUGAGCACAUCUCCGAGGAGUCUCUUCGGACGAGGUUUUUUCUCUCUCUCCCGUCUCGAUGGAGUCGGCUACUCUUUCCCUCCCUUGCCCUGCCCUCCCCUAGCGGAGGCGACACACUCCUCUCAUCUAUCGCCCGGGGAUGCCCUGCCCUCCCGUGGGGAAUGGGAUCUGGUGGCGCCCUUCGAACGUCGAGAGGUGGCACAACCCGCCACACACUUGUCCCCCCUCCUCAGGAUCCUCAAUUUCUCAUCUAAAAGGUUUUGUCUGCGUGCGCGUGCCUCUGGUUUCAUUCAUGAAUUAAUCUUAUCUGGAAGUGUGGUGAUCGUGCAUGUCUGUUUGUGUUCUAAGGCAUUCAACUUGCUUCUUGUGCAGGUUUAUGUGGAUGGAACUACCACCAUAUCCACCCAGCCUUUUGGUUUGAUCUUGUGA